UUUCUCAAGCAGAAGUGUUACUAAAGUCACAUUCAAGCACUACUGUAACAUUCAGAGGCGCUCAAGUUACUGUGUAACACUGUUCGGAAUGUACAGAUGCUACUUUUGUAUCAUGUGAUUGAAACAUCAGAAAUAUUUCUUCCCAAAAAUGAAGUCAGAGUUUUCAUCGGUUUGUUGUAUUUAUAUUCUGUGUAUAUGUGGAUGCUGUCUGUGUGUAUAAUAAGAGACCGGGGCUAGUUGUCACAGUUUAUUUAUUUAUUUAUUUUUUAACUCCAGUUGUUAUUUCUGUUUUGACAAAAGUUUAACAUACAAAACUGUGAAUAUAUCUCCAUCAUUACUUUCCAGGGAAGUAGGAAGCUGUUCGAGACGUGUUGAACACCACGGAGGGGCAUGCUGACUAUAUUGGGCUGCAGGAGAGUUUCUGUUCAUAUCCGGAUGUGUUUGGAGCUUCAGGAGAUGAAGAGUCCCGGGACUCGCCUUACAACAGCCAAUCAGCAUCAGCCGUGGGAGGCUGACAGAACGGGGCCACGGUACAACACAAACCUCUAAACCUGUCAGGCUUGUCGAAGCCAUUUCAGUUUGAGGUUCUCCCUCAGGUCCUGGACUGAAUUACCACUUCAAAGUCGGCGUGGAUGGAGGCGUCCCCGUGAGCCGGGCCCCGGGACUCCCUCAGAGACACAUAACCAACAACAUAGUUAGCAUAUUAAUUAUGAUAUUUUAGUGGAGUUGAGUGUUUUUAGCUGCUGUAAUGAACUGAGCGAGCGCAGAGGUGAUGGAGAACAGACAGCUGAUGAUAAUAGAGAGGUGCAGGAGACUCAGAAACACAGUGACAUCAGACAUUAGUUAUUCAGAGGGAAAAGCACUGUGGGUGGUUGCCAGGGCGUUGCUAUGGAAUAAAAGAUCAUGAUUACAAGGCCAGUGCAUUAAUGAAUUAAUUCCCGUAUGGCCAAUAAAUAAAUAAAUAUUUUUAAAUCUACUCUAAAUAUAAAUAGUUUACAGUUAAGUUUAAAGAAAUAUAUAUAUUUUUUAACAGAAAAUAUACAGUAUAUAUAUAUUCUGGACAAAUAAAUAAUAAGCUCAAUAAAAUAUUAAAAAAUAUUUAUACAUAAAAAA
ensembl:lncRNA